CCAAAAAGAAAGCCCAUAAGCGUGUAUUGUCACCUUUGACCACUGUAGCAAUGGCAGCAUUCAUUUUCUGUACUGCUCAUAGACAAAAUAUCUUCAAACCAUUCCUAACAUUGACAGGAAGAGGAAAGCAACUCUUCAAACAUUCAAAAACCAGUAUUUUUGUAAAGUUUUCAGUUUCAGAGCAGAGAGAAGUGCCAGAGACGGAAAAACCAGAGGUGUGUAACAAUGCCACUCAAACUCUCAGCUACCUGAGGAUUCAGAAGAUUUAUCCUGUCUUCAGUAACAAGGCCAACAAGAUUUGGUGAUCAGUGGGACCAGUGUGA